rnacentral:rRNA from 1 species
AGUGAACGCUGGCGGUAGGCCUAACACAUGCAAGUCGAACGGCAGCACAGUAAGAGCUUGCUCUUACGGGUGGCGAGUGGCGGACGGGUGAGGAAUACAUCGGAAUCUACUUUUUCGCGGGGGAUAACGUAGGGAAACUUACGCUAAUACCGCAUACGACCUACGGGUGAAAGCAGGGGAUCUUCGGACCUUGCGCGAUUGAAUGAGCCGAUGUCGGAUUAGCUAGUUGGCGGGGUAAAGGCCCACCAAGGCGACGAUCCGUAGCUGGUCUGAGAGGAUGAUCAGCCACACUGGAACUGAGACACGGUCCAGACUCCUACGGGAGGCAGCAGUGGGGAAUAUUGGACAAUGGGCGCAAGCCUGAUCCAGCCAUACCGCGUGGGUGAAGAGGGCCUUCGGGUUGUAAAGCCCUUUUGUUGGGAAAGAAAAGCAGCAGGUUAAUACCCCGCUGUUCUGACGGUACCCAAAGAAUAAGCACCGGCUAACUUCGUG